rnacentral:miRNA from 1 species
CAAAGUUGUUCGUGUUUAUGACGUCGAUAUUCGACGUCAUAAACACCAAAGUUGUUCGUGUUUAUGACGUCGAAUAUCGACGUCAUAAACACCAAAG